UCUACACGCGCAUCUCAUCUUCUUCAACAAUCCUUCUCCCCACCCACCCACCAACCAGAGUCCCAGGAAGAACAAGAAGGCGAUCUAGCAGGGAGAACGCCAUGGCCGCGCAUAGCAGCUCACACAUCCGCCAGUUAGCGGUCAGCAUUUAGGUUUUUGCCUAUCAGCGACUUGUUCAGCACGAAGCCGCCGCCGGAAAAGGUUCUGUAGUUCAUGGUGUUUGUCGGAAUGGAUAAUCAUUUUGCUGCGGAGGGAUCAGCAAGAGUUAUUAAUCAAGAUACAAUGAGCAUUGCAGACCAUCCAUCCUCGAACUCUUGCUCCGUGACCAUGUGAUGAACCAGCUUAUGAAAUUCACUUGUGAAAUCAGUUUUCUUGCUCCACAAAACCCCCAUUGACUCCUUUGCUUUCUUCAGCACAUGCCAUUUACACCACCUAUGCGUUGUAUUGGGCA